UGACACCAUUUGCGCAGAAUGUGGGCGUGAAUCGGCGGUUUCGGUCAGGCAGGCGGCGCGUCAUUCGAGAUCUCCGGGAGCCCACAUCCUCAGGAUGGACAAGAAAAAUCACAAAGCCGACAAACAAGAUACUGGAUUUCCCCAGUGUCGUCAACACAAAAAAUCCAAUAAAAGCACUCCUAAAUCAUGAGAAGAAAGAAAAAUUAACAAAUUAAAUAAUAUUAUUUCCCAUUUCUACGACACACUCCAGCCUCUGCAGUGGCCAUCUGUUGCAGAAGGCCUCGAGCAAUUCGACAGAUGCCCCAUGCUCUUUCUCCAGGUUAUGGGUACACUCCAUACAGUAUAUUGAAAACUUCUAACUUUAAGUAUUUGAACAUUUGUAAUUCAUGCUUUACAUCCACAAGACUAUUGGAAGGGAUGUUGUGUGAAUUCAUGCUGAAAAUCAACUUAAUCUCCCAGUCCUGCACAAAAUCUAGUGACCCCCAGUGAAGGUUCGUAAGUGUGGAAAUCUACUGGGCACAGUAUCAGGUUUGACAAUUCUACCCAGUAAUCUAACAACCUGCCAGCGUUCAGCCUCUAGGCUCUGUGAUGCAAGAAGGUGGCUGUUGUCCAUGGAAUUGUUCUCCAGCAUCCAUGGAAUUGUUCUCCAUCAAGAGUCAGCAGUUUGAAGAAGGGAGGGAAGAAAAUUGGCAAAAGAAAGAAAAAUGACUAUUAUGUAGUGUUGCCAUCACAACCUUUCAGUAAAAAUAUUAUUAUAAAAUAAAGGUUGAAUGAUAACAUUUUCAGUGGAAAUAAUGUUUCCAUGUUCAAAUGAUAAAUUGUCAGGCUUUACUGCUAAAGUGCAAUGUUGUGAGAACCUUGUUGUGGUGACUGCUCAUAUUCAUUCCUUAUCAUCCAUUAUUCCUCAUUUAAUAUUUGGGUUGCAGGCUAUCUAUCAAAGGCUCAAUCUUAAAAGUAACAUACUGCAGAUGCUGGGAAUCUGAUAUAAAAACAGACCUCAGGAUUUCAAGAAGAUAUAAUAAUUUUCAUAAUGUUAUUGGAAUUUAUUGUAGAGUAAUAGUGGGGUCUGUGUCUACGGGUCUGUAUGUGUGUGGGGGACUUAAUUGAAUUAAAGAAAGCUGGUCUGAAGGUUUUAAUAUAUCAGAAGAUAAGCUAGGUUUGAUAUAUAAAGUAUGUGAACAUGGGUGAAGUUUUAGAAUGUGAAGUGCAAAGGGAACAUUUGCAUUUUUAAAUAAAUUAGACUGGCUUGAAUUCAAGAGCGGGUGAAAUGCUUCACUUAGCCAGAAGAAGUUAAGAAACGGUGUGUUUAUUUUUCCCAAAGAUUACUGGUAUAAUUGGUACUAUGAUAGAUUUAUUAGAGAGGUAAAGUCCAAAGACAUAGUGAAACCAUGGGAAUUUGCAUUCAAAGAGGAAAAUAUGUAUAAAGGAAAGAAAGCUGUGUGCAAGAGAAGGCAUUUUAGGAUCUAACACAAGCGUGAAAAGCCUCCAGCAUCUAAGCUUCAAGCUGCUGUCUACAAUGAACCAAAGACGAGAAAAACUCACAUUGAAUUCGACUGUUCAGGGUAUUGUGUGUUGCAAUGCCCGAGUCUGUUAAAAUGUAUUUUGUUUUUACUGUUGCCUUAACGGAGUUGUAAUUGGGAGUUAGAUUAAUUAGGGGAGUUAGAAGUUGUAGUAACUUGUAGACCUAUGUACGUGCUUAAAAUAAUUUCUUCUAUUAAUAUUAUUAAAUGCCCCCCCCCCCCCCCAAAAUGUAAGGCUAUCUUACCUUCAUGCCACUAUCAGUGCCUUUUUUAGGCUUUAACACCACCAUUAACAUUCCCUUUGCCUUGUAUCCAUGAUAUUUUGUCAAUCUCUCCUGAGCUCUCACCGAUCCAUGAACUUCUAGUUUGCUCCACCCCCUCGUAACCGGUAUAAAAUCCAUCACAUAUCUACCUCUCUUCAGCUCUGAAGAGGAGUCAUACGGACUCAAAAUGUUUCUUCUGUUUCUCUCUCCAAGGAUGCUGCCAGACUUGCUGUGUUUUUCCAGCAUUUUCUGUUUUUAUUGUAGGCUCAAACUUGCUUGUGCAACCAACACCCUAAUAGGAACAUGCAAAAAUUAUGUCCAACUGAGCAUAAUAUUGAGCCACUGGCAAGCAAUGACAAUCUAAGUAAUAGCAUAUCAGUUUUAAAAACAAAAUUGCAUUAAGCACUAAGUACAAAAAAAUCGUGGGACUGAAAUUCAGGAAGCCUGGACCAGGGAGACAUUCUGCAUUAUCCCUGCAGAGAUCGUUCUCCCAGAUCUAGCUGAGCUCCCAAGUUUAGAUCACCUCGAUUCUUGUCAUUUUCCAGGCAUUUGCUGGGAUCUAUUGUAAUUUCAAUACUAGACUUUCUCAAAAUAUGUUUGGAAAUGAUGUGUGGUCUGGCUGGUGGGGUGGGUACAAAGCGUGAGGGAAAAUAACAAAAAAAAUGUAUUUUGGCCAGGUUGCUUCUCUCGUCCUGACAUUUAAUUUUCUAUGUACAUUCUUUGACUAGCUCAGUGCCACACCCACUGAAUUAAGGAGUGGAAAGAAUAAAUGUAUAUUUAAAAACAGAUGUGGGAAAUACCAGCCAGUUUGCUUGGAGAGCCCCUGAAAACAAGAUAACCCCUUAUUGCUCACCAUGAAACUCACCAACCCCAAGCAACUUAACCAUAAAUAUUCAGGGCCCCUUUUCAGUAUACCCAAAACAAUUUCACUCAAGGCCAAACAAGCCACCAACCUCUUCCCCUCACAACCCACAUAGUUCACAGUACAAGUCAAAAACCUGAAACUCCCUUCCUAAUCAUCAGAUGGACUGCAAUGUUUCAAGAAGGCAGUUCACCAUCACCACCUCAAGGGCAAUUAUGAAUGGACAAUAAAUUCUGGCCUUGCCAACAAUGCUCAUAUACCAUGAAAGAUUAAAAAAAGUAGCCUGAUGUGACAAUGCGUUCCUCCCAAUGAUACUAGAUGAGAAUGUGCUAUGUCUUAAUUUAACCAAAAAUAUAAUGCUCUCAAAAUAUCGGUGUGAAUGCAUCGUUAAUUGCACAAUGCCUUCAUAAAGUAUGAGGGUACAUGUAUCAGGAUAAUAGCUUCAUGAAUUGUGUAUGUACAUUCUUGAGAACCCAAUAAAAGAUUUAUUCAAUAAAA